rnacentral:rRNA from 1 species
UACGGGGGGGGCAAGCGUUGUUCGGAAUUACUGGGCGUAAAGGGCUCGUAGGCGGCCAACUAAGUCAGACGUGAAAUCCCUCGGCUUAACCGGGGAACUGCAUCUGAUACUGGAUGGCUUGAGUUCGGGAGAGGGAUGCGGAAUUCCAGGUGUAGCGGUGAAAUGCGUAGAUAUCUGGAGGAACACCGGUGGCGAAGGCGGCUCUCUGGACCGAUACUGACGCUGAGGCGCGAAAGCGUGGGUAGCAAACAGG